UGGCAAAGCUAGGCUAGGUCUUGGAGGCUGGUGUAAGGCGAUGUGUGUGGAGGCAGGAGGCUGAUGGAGAGACUGGGGGGAAGAAAAGCCGAAAUGGAUUCACAGUGCCUUGGAUGGAGGAUGAGAGGGGAACGGCAAGCUCCUUCAACUCAUUCUGUCCGGUGAGAAGUGAUCAAGCUUGGGCUGACAAGAGGCUCAGGGAGCCCUCACGUUCUUUGCUUUUUUACCUGCCAAUCAAACUGCUACAAGACAACACCCUGAUCUGGCAUGGACAU
rfam:Oryctolagus cuniculus chromosome 14, whole genome shotgun sequence.